rnacentral:tRNA from 1 species
GCCGAUGUAGCUCAGCUGGUAGAGCAACGCAUUCGUAAUGCGUAGGUCUGCGGUUCGAAUCCGCAUAUCGGCUCCA